AAGGGGGUUUGGCUUUUAAAUUUUUUUUUCUUUGAUUUCUCUCUACACAAGCAUCCAAAUGAAAAAGUCCAUUACAUGAAAUCAAUAGGAAAUCAUCCAAUGAAUCCGUUCCACCCCUUAUUUUAGGCUGAAAUUGCUUGUGUGAAGAGUUCUUCCCUUUUCCCAAUUUGAAUCACUAUUCAUCGAAGAGAGAAAUUGUGAUUUUUCAUGGAGCUUUGCUUGAAGGUUGUUCUCUAGGCUAGGUAUAAGGGAUUAGAGGUGUGCCUAGGGACUGAGCGUGUUCGGAUUUCUUUGGAGCUAAAUAGGUAACUUGUGUUACAAGUGAGCAAAUUGGUAAAGUUUCAAAAGGAACACAGUUAAUUGAAGAGCCCUCAUGGGACAAGGACACUACCUGUGGCUAGAGGUACUAGUGUGAGGAUAUGGAGUUCUGGGUGGCCGGACGCUACUAUUUAUUAUAGAUGUUAUUUUUGGAGAAUAUGUACUAUUGUAUAGUGUUCUAUUCAUUUUGAGAUCAUGAUGUUUGAUCCAUUAUACAAUAUAUGGUCCGUAUAUGUU